rnacentral:rRNA from 1 species
CCUACGUGAGACAGCAGUGAGGAAUAUUGGUCAAUGGGCGCGAGCCUGAACCAGCCAAGUAGCGUGAAGGAUGACUGCCCUACGGGUUGUAAACUUCUUUUAUAAAGGAAUAAAGUGAGACACGUGUGCCUUUUUGUAUGUACUUUAUGAAUAAGGAUCGGCUAACUCCGUGCCAGCAGCCGCGGUAAUACGGAGGAUCCGAGCGUUAUCCGGAUUUAUUGGGUUUAAAGGGAGCGUAGAUGGGUUGUUAAGUCAGUUGUGAAAGUUUGCGGCUCAACCGUAAAAUUGCAAUUGAUACUGGCAGUCUUGAGGACAGUUGAGGUAGGCGGAAUUCGUGGUGUAGCGGUGAAAUGCUUAGAUAUCACGAAGAACUCCGAUUGCGAAGGCAGCUUACUAAACUGCCACUGACAUUGAUGCUCGAAAGUGUGGGUAUCAAACAGGAUUAGAUAACCCAGUAGUC